rnacentral:tRNA from 1 species
ACCUGGGUGGCUCAGUCGGUUAAGCGUCUGACUUUGGCUCAGGUCAUGAUCUCGCGGUUUGUGAGUUCGAGCCCCACCUUGGGCU